AUCAUCUUACACUUACUACUGAGUACAAAGUACUAGUGAAAUUGAAAAUAACAAUGGCAGAAGACUUCUUAAGGCACCCACACACGAAACAAAAUCAGUGUAAGUCUGAUACAUAGUCUAUAUAGAGAGCAUUUAGGAUAUAGUUCUGUGUCACUGGUUACACUACACUAUCAACUGGCAUCAUCACAUUCUGUGUUGUCAGAGAAUGAAAUGAAUUUUGGAAUUUGUAAACAAUGUGCCAAUACAGUUGUGGCGUCGUCAGCAUGGCAGAAAUGUGAGCCUCAAGAAAUGCCCAGUGGGUGACAUAACUAAUAAUACAAAGAGUUUACCUAACAAAACUGAUGAACUAACAGGACUGCCAUAGGAAUAGUGGAUUUUUUGUGGGGAAACACAACUUGAAAACUAUACAACAAACCAAAAACAAAAAUGGAAGUAAGACAGCAAGAGUCGAGGAAAAUCAAAUGUGUGCAUGUGGCAUACACAGGUAAACAGUGCACAUGGAUGACACUUACAACUGAGACAUUCAACCAAAAAUAUGGCAGACAUGAGCCACAUAACUUUCGAAGUAACUCUUCAGACAAUACACCAGUGGAUCGUAUUGUUCACUAGUUACACCACUGUUGGAGAAUACUACUACAUUUCACAUUAACAUGCAGGAGAUAACUUGUUCAUGCUGCUUACCAAAUUUUGUAUUAUGGAAAACUGGUGUGGUAACCUGAAUAAUCAAUUUCAGUAUUUCCAUUACUUAUUUCACAUCUUCUCAUAAAUAAUUUAAAUGGCUGAAGGAGGUGAGAUAAUAGAGGGUUUCCUGUGUCCGAUAUGUAAGGCAGAUUUAGGAUCUCCAAAAAGCCUUGAGACACAUUUUCAAGAAGAGCACACAGAAGAUCAAGAUGUGAUCAAAUCAAUUAAAGGUCUGUUAGGAAAGGCUAAGAAGAGAAUCCUUAAGUUGGAAGAUGAAGAUCUACCUGCUGAUUUUAGGACCACAGCACACUUACAAGAUAGUUUUGAAGUGCUAUUGUAUGAACCUCAAGAAGUAGGGGCAUUCAGAUCACACUCAGAAUAUUUUCGUAUAUUUAGGGGUUCUCGUUUGGAGAGAUAUGCUGCAGAAACAAAUAAAUUAUUGAUUCGACUGGAUAAGUUGCUGCGAGAUGUACCGGCGGAUCCAGUGAAGCGGAAGUUGCAUGAACAAGCUAUAGUACCAUGGAUUGAUGAUCGAGAUGUGAAGCUUUGUCCUAGCUGUGCAAAAAGUUUUCAUGUUGCUCGAAGGAAACAUCAUUGCCGUCUCUGUGGAGCUAUUAUGUGUAAUGAGUGUUCUCAUUUUCUUGAGCUUGGUGUUGCUAAGAAAAUGACAGGUUCUGGAUUUGGUCAUGAUCUUUCUUGUACUUCAUUCAAUGUAGACAAACAAAAGAAUACAAACAGUGGGGCUUUGGAGCAUUCCAGCUCUGUGGCCAGUCUCAGUUCUGUAAAGUCAUUUAUGGAUAAUAUGACUGGUGAACAGAAUUUACGCCUCUGUGUGCAUUGCAAACAACUUUUGGAAGCCAGGGAGAAGCUGAAAGAAAAUCGAAGCCAGAAACCAAUAAUAAGUCAGUUUUAUGAACGCCUUGCAUCAUAUAUAAAAGAAGCCGAUGAGAUGGCUGAAGUGUAUUUUAAAAUGUGUGAAUCUUUGCAGUGUGGGGAAACAGCACAUACCCCAGAAGAGGCACAUAUUUUAAGGGGAAAGCUUCUGAAAUUAGCUGAAAACAUUGACUCCUUAAGUAAAAAGAUCACAAUUCUGGGCACAAAAGAUGUUGAAAAUCCCCCAAAAGGUAAAAGUUUGCAACUUCAGAAUAUGAUAAGGGUUGCAUCUGUAGCUUACCUGAAAGAGAAACUGCUUGGUUUGUCUUCUCCUACAGAAGGGCAACGUAUAAAUAACAGAUAAUGUGUUGAAUAUUUUAUAGAAAGGAAGAACAAAUAUAUGACCAAAUUCUACAUUCUGCAUAGUUUGUAAUUUGAAAUUACUCUAGGAAUGUGGAUUCAUUAGUCCCAUUCACUUAAGUGACACUAUGGAAAUGUACUGUGAUUUUCUUUUGCUACGUCCAUGUUUAUUAUGAAAUGUGGAGUAAUGAAAGAGAGAAUAUUGAAUACUUUGUUAUUGAAAUAUGUGUAUUUUGAUGGUUAAAAGUUCAUUUCCAGUACUGUUUCUGUUAAAAGUUUGAAUCUGCAGUUAUUUUAGUAUAGAAAAACAGUAGAAAAAAAUCAGUAAUGGUUGGUGUUAUUACUACUUAUAGAGAAAUAUCAAUGACAGCUAGAGUAAUAGUCACAUAUUAUGGUUUUAUAAAUGUUGCACAAUAGGGACAGGCUUUUGUAAACAGUUUUAAGAUGUGUAGAAAAUGCGAUUUAUUAUGGUACAUUAAUAUUGUAGCUAUCAAGUGUCUAAUGUAAUUACAAAUGAUACAUAAUUGUUCUUGUAUUUUCCUAAUUAUUAUAUGAGUACAUCCUCUUCUAUAAAUUGUACAUUACAAUUUACAUAUUGUCAUUUUAUUCAUUGGAUUGUAUCAGUUGCCAUGAUGAUAUUUAAGUCAGAAUGUGUCCCCUGUGUUCAUAUCAUUGCAUGUAACAUAUGUUGUUAUAAUACAUUUUGGUAACUAGGUCUGUAGUUCCUACAGAAAUUAAAAGAAGAUAUUAUUUGUAGUGGAGGCAGGGGUAAGUCACUUACCUUAAUACCUCAAUAUAUCGUGAAAAAUAAUAGUUUAUGGUUAUUAUCACACUUGCUUAAAAACAGAUGUGUUAGCAUAAAUAUAUGUACAUGAGAAGCAGAAAAUAGUAAAUAACAGAGGAAAACCAUUCACUCAGACACAGAACACACAAAUGUAUGACCAAAUCACAACCAAAAUAAUGAGAUGGAUGGCAGCAGAAGGGGAAGCAUAAACAAUGCUUCAUAUCAAUGGAAUGAUAUGAAAAGUAUUCUUAGGGACAACAUGAUCGGGAACAGAUGAGAAUAACAAAGUGUAAAAGAGAACAAAAGCUCCAAAUAUCAGUGUACGGUACCCAUCAACUUACACUCACAACAAUGAUGUGAUAAGGGGACUUUCUUAUAAUUUUUUUUAACUGAAUAGGAAAGAAAAUGAGAACAAAGAAAAUAAGGUCACAGGCAUUACAAGGGGGUUAACAAGAAGUAGUAAUGGAAGUGUAACAUAAAGUGAAAUAUUCUUAAGAAAAUGAAAAGCACCGUUUAUUAUUUUUUCUUUUAUCAGUACUGGUAUUUGCUACUAGCUGCAGCUGCUGUUGCAUACAUUCCAUUUUUUCAUACCUUUGCGUUUGGGCAGUAGCUUAAUUGUCAUUACCACUAACUAAACAGAUACCUAAAGUUCUGUUGUUUGUGUUCUUAAGUGUGUGUGUGUGUGUGUGUGUGUGUGUGUGUUAGAGUAGAGUGACUUUUAAUAGUGAAGGGAAUAACAGUUUUGCAUGUUUUGUUUCUCUUGUGUGUGAAACAACUGCUCUGUAAUUUUCUAAUUGCAUGUAAGAAGAAAGCUUAUUUCUGUUCUCAAAGUUAGUGUUUUUUGUAUUUACUUAAAUAAAGCAGAUAAAUUUGCAUCAAAAUUCUGUGUGUGUGUGUGUGUGUUUUUUUUUUUUUUUUUCCUGAUAAAAAGCAGAUUUUUUACGCAUUGUAAUACUGGUGAAACAUAUUGUACAUUGCAUGGUGUGUUAGUAACAAAAAGACAAAAUAUUCUUGGUGAACAUUGUUUUGUAAUAGUAAGCUUGCUUUCAAGGUGAGAAUAACUGUUUAUACACAUCUUGUUUUAGUUUUCAUAAUAAGUGAAUUCUGUCAGAAUGUUUUAUAAAAAGUUUCCUGUUGAAAAAUUUUGUAAAAUAUUCACUUUGUCUUUAAUUCUGCUUAUUUGUUAGAAGCAGUGUAGUUACAUUGAUUGCUUAAUGUUUCAAAUGUUAGUGAAGUUUCUUUUCACUUAGCUUCCAACCAAGUGGGCACGAGAAUGUCAAUAGUCUGUGUUCUAUUUAAAAACCUUGUCAUAUUUAUUUGUGUUUAAUAAAAGUAUUUUGAAGAUCCUUUAGAAGACUGUAUAGUACAAUUCAGUUAUUUUGUAAUGUUUAAUGUUAGUUCUCUCACAGUAGCCUGUGCCUUUAUUUGUAAUUUGGCAUGUACCUGUAACAGGCACUGAUUCAUGUACUGGAAUCAGGGAAAUGGCUGAAGUAUUUAACUUCAUGAUUGAUCCAGAUGAAGACAUUUCUCUGCAUGAAGCAGUCUUGAAAAGUGACUUCGAGAAAAUGGUUUUUCUGUUAAAUGAAAAGCCUUCAAGACUAAAUGAAACUAUGGGGGCAGUUGGUGUAACACCUCUUCGUUGUGCAGCUGCAGUGGGAAGUGCUGUAUGUGUUCAAGAGCUGCUGAGGCGAGGAGCAGAAGUAGAUGUUGUUGACAUUAAGGCACAAACACCCCUGUUUGUAGCAGUGUACAAUAGUCAUACAGAAGUGUGCAGACUGCUGUUAGAAGCUGGAGCUGACCCAGAUGGUAGCAGAGAGAAUCUCUCGUCCCCUCUCCAGAUUGCUUGUCAAAAUGGCUUCAGUGCUGGACUAAAGUUGCUGCUAGAAUACGGCGCAGCAUUAGAAGGGUACCCUGUACAUCCCUUACACAUUGCGGCGUCCCAUGACCACCUCGCGUGCUUCUUUCUGCUCCUCUUGUAUGGAAGUAGGACUGAUCUGGAGACUUACUCGUUUCGACACCGUUCUUUAGCCCACUCUAUCGUUGGGAGAAGGCUUCCUCCUAUAUACAUUUAUUUAUGGUUACUUUUUGGAGGGAAAGUCGACGACAGCAGUAGAAGUUUAAUGCAAGAAGUUGAAGACUAUAGAGCAUUGGUGGAAUUCAUAGGCCGACCACUUUCGUUGAAGAAUCAGUGCCGCAUAGCGAUCAGGAAGAGAAUGAAGUGCUGUAAUAUGCAGCACGUGUCCGCUCUUGGGAUACCUGAAGUGCUAGCCGACUUUCUGCUAUAUAAAGAUAUUCCAAACGUUGCUGGUAUUCAUGACCACAUUUAUUGGCUAUAAGAACGUAUCGAUUUGAUUUUUUGUUGUUAUCAUGUGCUUAUGUAUAAGCUAUGUGCCUUGUUGAGAGAACAUGUUUCCUGUUUGUGAAAGCUCGUUUUCUUUAAUUUUGUAAAAAAGAGAACACAGUUUAUUUAAUACGACGGAUGCUUGAUGUUUGUAAUACAAAGUAGUCCACAUAUUAUAUAAAUGGGAAGACAAGGACAUAAUAAAA